GGGGAUAUAGCACAGUUGGUAGCGCGAUACGUUCGCAACGUAUAGGUCUGGGGUUCGAAUCCCCAUAUCUCCACCA
rnacentral:tRNA from 1 species